CCUGCGCAUUUGUGGAUCGCUUUCUGUGCAUUUGUGAAUCGCUGCACACAUUUGUGGAUCGCUUUCUGUGCAUUUGUGAAUUGCUGCACUCAUUUGUGGAUCGCGUUCUGUGCAUUUGUGGAUUUGAAACAUUUCUAACGUCAAGACGUGCACAAGAAUCCACAAAUAGGUGGACUCCGCCCACCGUCUACUCCAGCCAAUCAGACAACAAGCACACUGUGCUGACCAAUCGUGGCACGAUCUCCCUUCAACCAAUCAUAGAGUCUUUUCUAGAAACAUUGUGCAAAAGACCCAGACGGAGGAGGACUUUUAUUAUGACAGCGAGUAUCGCUCACUCAAAGCAAUGGCGGAAAAGCGCUAGUUUUGUACAAGUGUCUCGCUGUGUGAGGCAUGAAUCGUGUUGUUGUGGAGACAAUAGCACAAGAUUGUUACGCGGUGUGUUCAUGUGCGUCAUUAGAGAGCAUACCCUCAUCCUGUGCAGAGCUUCAUUAAAGGACUACUACCAAUAUUCACCAUUACCUUCAUCAACGACUGCUCUGCUAUCCAAGUUGUGCCUCUCAUUCAGAGUUCUGUGCGGUGUGUGCUACCUCAUAAAUACUGAAUGCUGGCUCUCUCCUAUCUAAUGUAUGUUCUCUUGUGUGCCUAAUAAACAGCUCAAGUUGGUUCAACGCUCUCUAUUGUGUUCUGACAGACACCCUGGAGUGGGGGUGCAUUCAGCUGAUGUAGAUGUUUGCCUAAAAGGGAUAUGACAGACGCUACAUAUCAUUUCAUGUGAUUUUUAUAUGUUUUACGACUUGCAUCUUUACUUGACCAGGUGUUACAGAUGAUCAACAAAAUGCACUCUGGAAGGUCCUGAGCGGGGAAUUCUCUGAAGUAAAGGAUGCAUUUGCGUUCAUAUUUCAAGUUCAAGAGGAUAUUGAAUUUUUUUGUCAUACUGUGUUAAUGAACAAGGCCUGAAGGUCAAUGCCAUGUUUCUCAAUCAGCAAUUGCAGUAGACAGGAGUGAAUGAAUGAAAUGUGUAAUGAACUCAUUUAUUUAUGAAUCAAUAAUUUGAAGGAAUAAAUAAAUAAGCUAAUCCUUUGUGUAAGCUUAGAUGCAUACAUUUGUUAGAGUGUGCUGAAAUAAGUAGUACAGAUUUAUAUAGAACACUAUCUUAUCUUAAGUAAAUUAAAUAUUAAAUGUAAACAAACACACACACACACAUCUGUAAUUUCUAAAUGGGGUGUACAUUUAAUUUUAAGUUAAGCCAAGCCAGAUUUAUUUAUAUAGUGUUUUUUUUUACAAAGUUGCAUUGCUUCAAAAACCAGGGAAAUUACUAAAUUAAUAGUAAAUAUAAUGGGUUAUAUAGUAUUAUUCCAAACUAUAGAUUAUAAUCUAAUAAAACAGUAUUUUGUUCUUCAACUAUUGAUAAUUUAGUCAAAUAAUAUAAAUAAUCAGGAACAGACCAAACUAUACAAGCCUUUCCAAUUUCCACCUCACAUUAAAAUGGAACCUUAAAAGGAUUAAAAUUACCUGAGAACAGGAGUUUGAUAUUACAUAAGGGAUUAGCAAAAUUGAAACCAA